rnacentral:tRNA from 1 species
UACACUUAAGUAUAUGAUGUACAGGAAUUUUUGGUAUUCCCGGGGACGGUUUAAUUCCGUCAAGUGUAA